AUUGAACGCUGGCGGCAGGCUUAACACAUGCAAGUCGAACGAGUGGCGGACGGGUGAGUAAUGUCUGGGAAACUGCCCGAUGGAGGGGGAUAAAUACUGGAAACGGUAGCUCAUACCGCAUACCAUCGGCUGUGCCCAUAUGGGAUUAGCUAGUCGGUGGGGUAACGGCUCACCUAGGCGCCGAUCCCUAGCUGGUCUGAGAGGAUGACCGGCCACACUGGAACUGAGACACGGUCCAGACUCCGACGGGAGGCAGCAGUAGGGAAUAUUGCACAAUGGGGGCAACCCUGACACAGCUAUGCCGCGUGAAUGAAGAAGGCCUUCGGGUUGUAAAGUUCUGUCGGUAGCGAGGCGUUAACUAAAGAAGAAGCGCCGGCUAACUCCGUGCCAGCCGCCGCGGUAAUAC
rnacentral:rRNA from 1 species